rnacentral:rRNA from 1 species
AUUGAACGCUGGCGGCAGGCCUAACACAUGCAAGUCGAACGGUAACAGGAAGCAGCUUGCUGCUUUGCUGACGAGUGGCGGACGGGUGAGUAAUGUCUGGGAAACUGCCCGAUGGAGGGGGAUAACUACUGGAAACGGUAGCUAAUACCGCAUAACGUCGCAAGACCAAAGAGGGGGACCUUAGGGCCUCUUGCCAUCGGAUGUGCCCAGAUGGGAUUAGCUAGUAGGUGGGGUAACGGCUCACCUAGGCGACGAUCCCUAGCUGGUCUGAGAGGAUGACCAGCCACACUGGAACUGAGACACGGUCCAGACUCCUACGGGAGGCAGCAGUUGGGAAUAUUGCACAAUGGGCGCAAGCCUGAUGCAGCCAUGCCGCGUGUAUGAAGAAGGCCUUCGGGUUGUAAAGUACUUUCAGCGGGGAGGAAGGGAGUAAAGUUAAUACCUUUGCUCAUUGACGUUACCCGCAGAAGAAGCACCGGCUAACUCCGUG